rnacentral:rRNA from 1 species
AUACGGAGGGUGCAAGCGUUAUUCGGAAUCACUGGGCGUAAAGCGCGCGCAGGCGGCUAUUUAAGUUGGAUGUGAAAGCCUAUGGCUCAACCAUAGAACUGCAUCCAAAACUAUUUAGCUAGAGUGUGGGAGAGGAAGAUGGAAUUAGUUGUGUAGGGGUAAAAUCCGUAGAGAUAACUAGGAAUACCAAAAGCGAAGGCAAUCUUCUGGAACACUACUGACGCUGAGGCGCGAAAGCGUGGGGAGCAAACAGGAUUAGAAACCCUAGUAGUCC